rnacentral:rRNA from 1 species
UUGCGUAGGUGGUUUGUUAAGUAGAUAGUGAAAUCUGGAGGCUCAACCUCACAGGCUAUUAUCUAAACUGGCAAACUCGAGAAUGGUAGAGGUAACUGGAAUUUCUUGUGUAGGAGUGAAAUCCGUAGAUAUAAGAAGGAACACCAAUGGCGUAGGCAGGUUACUGGACCAUUUCUGACACUGAGGCACGAAAGCGUGGGAGCAACG